rnacentral:rRNA from 1 species
UACGUAGGGGGCUAGCGUUGUCCGGAAUCAUUGGGCGUAAAGCGCGUGUAGGCGGUCCGGUAAGUCCGCUGUGAAAGUCGGGGGCUCAACCCUGGGAUGCCGGUGGAUACUGUCGGGCUUGAGUACGGAAGAGGCGAGUGGAAUUCCUGGUGUAGCGGUGAAAUGCGCAGAUAUCAGGAGGAACACCAAUGGCGAAGGCGGCUCGCUGGGACGUUACUGACGCUGAGACGCGAAAGCGUGGGGAGCGAACAGG